CCUACGGGUGGCAGCAGUGGGGAAUAUUGGACAAUGGGCGGAAGCCUGAUCCAGCGAAGCCGCGUGAGGGAAGAAGUAUCUCGGUAUGUAAAGCACUAUCAGCAAGGAAGAAAAUGACGGUACCUGUCUAAGAAUCCGCGGCUAACUACGUGACAGCAGCCGCGGUAAUACGGAGGGGGCAGGCGUUAUCCGGAUUUACUGGGUGUAAAGGGAGCGUAGACGGUGCAGCAAGUCUGAUGGGAAAGGUCGGGGCCUAACCCCGGGACUGCAUUGGAAACUGUUGAACUGGAGUACAGGAGAGGUAAGCGGAAUUCCGGGUGUAGCGGUGAAAUGCGUAGAUAUGAGGAGGAACACC
rnacentral:rRNA from 1 species